CUGUUUAUAGAGGAGGCUUUGCAUAAUUGUGCUCUCAGUUACCAGCUGGGAACAAACCCGGAGCCCCCAGGGGUGGGCCAGCGCUGUCUUGCUCAACUUUCUCACUUUCAGUUUGUCCCAAUUAGAAGCACUUAUACAGGGAUUAUCCCUGAUUUUCACCUGGGCACUUCAGGGUCUAAUUUCUACCAGGAAUAGCAGCUCUGGGCAGGCUACACAUUCUUACCUCUUAAAGCUUGCUUUUAUUUCUUCUUUUUUUUUUCCUGCGUAACCCUGGGUGAAGGUGUUCAGGAAUCUCCUCCUGACACCUUUCUUUCCAAAUCAAACACCCUCAGGACUUGCUGACCUUGCCAGGGUUGAUAAAUGCCUGAUCAUUUUGCUGCACUGUGAUCCAGCAGACUUGGGAGCAGAGAAGGAUCCCACAGGACUGGAAAAUUUCACUUUUUGCUUAAGCCCAAGGUUUCGUUUGCCUCCCAUGAAGACAGAAGCUGUUCUAGCUUUCACUGCCAUCUCAGUGGGUUAGACAUGAGCUUCUCUGGUGAAUAAAAAAUGAGUUAGAAAAUUUUAAACUUGGGUUCCCAUUCCAGAGCAACUGCAGUGGGAUGAGUCAGGCACUGCUGCCACAGGAUAAUGAAGGAGAAUGUGUAUUUUAAUGAGCCCAUUUCAGAGCAGAUGCACUAAUAGCUUUCACAGCAUCUCACAGCUGAGGGUGGAGGGCUGCUUGGGGUUCAUCUGCUCCUGUGAUGGCCAGGUGGCACCAGAAAUGCUCUGCACUGAGCCCUGGCUUUCACCCCUGGGCAAGCAGUGCUGCUGGGGCAGAGAGGGACCUGCACCCCUGCCCAGGGGCAUCUUCCCUCUGCAUCCAGCUCAGGGAUCCCACAGACACCUCUGGCUGCUGACCUUGCACAGCUGAAGCUGCUGAAGCUGCUCUGCUCAUGGGUCCCUUCUGCACGUAUGGAAGCCCCUCUGCUAUAAAAGGAACAUUUCUGACCCCUGUGUGGCAUUCCUGCCUCCCAAAGACCUUGGGGCUGGUUGAGCUGUGUUCCCAACCUUUGUCUGCUUGGAUUCAUGUAGUGGCAACAGCUGCAGCUUGGGCUGUGUGACCACUCAUGGCAGGAGAGCUGGGCUCUCCCUUCUGCCCUGCCCUGCACACAGCCCACUCACCCUGGCCUGAUCUCCAUGGAGAUACAUGCAUCCAGCACAAAACUCCUACAACUGGGAUACACACCUCAGGUCCAAGAAAAGGAUAAGGACAUGGGGACUAGCCUCCCACAGUUCAAUCAUCUUUGAAUGCAUUUACUUGUAGAAGGAGGAUGAGUUUUUAUAGGCAUAGAGAUGUAAGGCACAACCAGUGCUCUGAGACCACAGAGGAGAAAACUGACAUUUUCCUGUACAGGGACAACACAGAGGUGAACAAAGCUGCAGUGUUGUAAGUAAAGCUGCAUGUCUCUGCAACCAAGGUGCUUUUCACAUAACCUAUGAGGAUUCAGCUCUACCAUCAUCUUUGAUUUCCUAACAUCCAUGCAAAUGUUGUCCAAGACAUGGAUUGUUGGUGAGCAAAGUAAAGGUUACAGUGCAAUCAGCUGCUGUUGCUGCAUGGGACAAUGAGGUCCUGAUGUCUACACUCAGCUGGUCACUGGAAGUGUUCCUGAAGUCUGUACACUAUUGUCAUCAUUGUUGUGAUCUCUGUCAGCAGCACCACCACAUCACUCAGUGAGUUGGACUUGGUCCUUCCAUGGUGUGUAAGUCUCAGGCUUAUCCUUGGCACUGAAAGGAUUGCACCUGCACAUGCUGAUCCUUUUCCAUUUAUUCACAAGCUCUCAGGUUUGAGAGUGGGAGAGCACCCAUGGGUGAAGUGCAGCUGGAAUAAAUUGCACAUGCCAAAGGAUGAAGGAUGGAUGACAAGCCCCCAGGUGUCUAGAGGGCUUUUUUCCCUCAAUGGCUCCUGACUGAAUAAAGCCAUACUGGAGCAUGACAAAGGCACUGAUGGGAUGUGUGUCAUUACCCCCCUAAUUUCAUGAGUUACUGACUGGUGUGUGACUAGCAAGCCUCUCUGAUCCUUUGUCAGGCUGAUCUCAGAGCCAGUCUAUAAUGGCAUAAGGUACUGGUGGCCCUGCUCACCAAAAUGGGAGAGACACAACUCCUCCACACCAGACACAGUCUCUAAAUUCCAUUCCUGAAGAAAAUUCCUAGGGUAGUUACAGAAACUGUGUAUGCCACAUUUUCUUGCCCAGGCCAGUGUCCCAGCAGACCAUGCAGGAUUUCAGUUAUCUUCCCUCUUUCCCUGGUGCCACCUGGGCAUGCCAGAAACUGUGGAUAGCAGUGAGCCAAAACCCUCAUCUCCAAGGCACUCUCCAAGAACCAAUGUACUAUGAGCUCACUUUUAUUAAUUUUGAGUUCUUAUGACAGGAACAAUGCAAAUAUUGACUCCAUCAUGGGAGUGCAAAGGUUUGCCUGCACAGAAAAAACACACGGUAUGCCCAAAACAGUUGUUCUAUAUUCAGUAAGUUUAUUUUGGUCUCAUGUUGGGAUUGACAUAAGUGACUCUUGAAGGGAGUGACCUCUCAUGCCAAGCCCCAGCAGUGUGCACCAGUGCAGCAGCAUCUUCCUGGUACAACAGCAGAGUUUUCAGAGGACCUUUGCAUUUUGCCUCAUGUGGGAAAAUCAUUGCUCUAUGUUAGUUCUUCUGUCACACCCAAGAAAGGAAACCAUAGACAAGUGAAGAAAAAGCAGGUGAAGAGGACAGAUGGACCUAAAACUCUUUGGGGCAAAACUCAAACUUUGAAAUGUCUAUGAGUAACACACCUUGCCAAUACUGCAAAGACUUACUGGUCCAUUGGUCUUCCAGGUGGCCCAUCUCCUCAGGCAGGUGAUAUCUCUCUGCAGAACCACGGGUGGCAUAUCUCUGCAGAACCACGGGUGGUGUCUCUCAGCAGAAUUUCAGCAGAAUGUCUGACACUGUGAGUCAGCAGCCCUUGGAAGCCACUCCAGCCUUGCCGGGGCAGCCAGCAGUGCCCCAGGGCAGGCAUUCCUCCCCAGGAAUGCUGGUCAGCCAGAGGUGUGGGCUGGGCUGGGCUGGCAAAGCUCCUCCUGCAGGAAACAAACAGUGGCUUUGGGGGUGAGGGUGGGAAUACAGUUCAGCGGGAUGCCACUUCUGCCAGAAAAUUCUUAGUCCUCACACAGAAAAAGCCAUUUGCACCUUCCUCCUUCGUUUAAGAAAGCAGUGCUGAUGUCAAGGAACCUCCUCUGAUCCCAACAGAGUCAUGUCCAAGGGGAGGAUGCUAAUGAGAGCUGAGGCUCAGUGAGAAAUGUGGUUAAAUGGAGCUACCACACAAUCAUGUCAAUUCCAUAGCCUAGCAUUGAAAGGAGGAAGAGAAUAACAAUAAAUAUAUA